rnacentral:rRNA from 1 species
AUUGAACGCUGGCGGCAGGCCUAACACAUGCAAGUCGAGCGGAUGACGGGAGCUUGCUCCUUGAUUCAGCGGCGGACGGGUGAGUAAUGCCUAGGAAUCUGCCUGGUAGUGGGGGACAACGUUUCGAAAGGAACGCUAAUACCGCAUACGUCCUACGGGAGAAAGCAGGGGACCUUCGGGCCUUGCGCUAUCAGAUGAGCCUAGGUCGGAUUAGCUAGUUGGUGAGGUAAUGGCUCACCAAGGCGACGAUCCGUAACUGGUCUGAGAGGAUGAUCAGUCACACUGGAACUGAGACACGGUCAAGACUCCUACGGGAGGCAGCAGUGGGGAAUAUUGGACAAUGGGCGAAAGCCUGAUCCAGCCAUGCCGCGUGUGUGAAGAAGGUCUUCGGAUUGUAAAGCACUUUAAGUUGGGAGGAAGGGCAGUAAGUUAAUACCUUGCUGUUUUGACGUUACCGACAGAAUAAGCACCGGCUAACUCUGUGCCAGCCGCCGCAGUAACAC